rnacentral:rRNA from 1 species
CCAGCACCCGCGGUAAUUCCAGCUCCAAUAGCGUAUAUUAAAGUUGUUGCAGUUAAAAAGCUCGUAGUUGGAUUUCUGGUGGGAGGGAACCGUCCGAUCUCAGAUUGGUGCGUGUUCCUCUCCGGCCAUCCUUGAGUCUAACCUCCUUGGCAUUAAGUUGUCGAGGUGGGGAUACUCAUCGUUUACUGUGAAAAAAUUAGAGUGUUCAAAGCAGGCUUAUGCCGUUGAAUAUAUUAGCAUGGAAUAAUAAGAUAGGACCUCGGUACUAUUUUGUUGGUUUGCGCACCAAGGUAAUGAUCAAUAGGGACAGUUGGGGGUAUUCGUAUUCAGUAGUCAGAGGUGAAAUUCUUAGAUUUACUGAAGACGAACUACUGCGAAAGCAUUUACCAAGGAUGUUUUCA